rnacentral:rRNA from 1 species
UACGAAGGGGGCUAGCGUUGUUCGGAAUUACUGGGCGUAAAGCGCGUGUAGGCGGGUCUUUAAGUCAGGGGUGAAAUGCCAAGGCUCAACCUUGGAACUGCCUUUGAUACUGGAGAUCUUGAGUCCGGGAGAGGUGAGUGGAAUUGCGAGUGUAGAGGUGAAAUUCGUAGAUAUUCGCAAGAACACCAGUGGCGAAGGCGGCUCACUGGCCCGGUACUGACGCUGAGGCGCGAAAGCGUGGGGAGCAAACGGG